rnacentral:rRNA from 1 species
AUACGUAGGGGGCGAGUGUUGUCCGGAAUGAUUGGGCGUAAAGGGCGCGUAGGCGGCGCGGUAAGUCUGGAGUGAAAGUCCUGCUUUCAAGGUGGGAAUUGCUUUGGAUACUGCCGCGCUUGAGUGCAGGAGAGGUUAUCGGAAUUCCCGGUGUAGCGGUGAAAUGCGUAGAGAUCGGGAGGAACACCAGUGGCGAAGGCGGGUAACUGGACUGCAACUGACGCUGAGGCGCGAAAGUGUGGGGAGCAAACAGGAUUAGAUACCCUGGUAGUCCACACUGUAAACGAUGAAUGCUAGGUGUAAGAGGUAUCGACCCCUUUCGUGCCGGAGUCAACACAAUAAGCAUUCCGCCUGGGGAGUACGGCCGCAAGGUUGAAACUCAAAUGAAUUGACGGGG